UGUUUUGAGGCUGUCUAUGAACACUUUCUGU
rnacentral:piRNA from 1 species